rnacentral:rRNA from 1 species
UACGAAGGGAGCUAGCGUUGUUCGGAUUCACUGGGCGUAAAGGGCACGUAGGCGGCUCGGCAAAUCGGUCGUGGAAUCCCGACGCUUACCGUCGGAACGGCGGCCGAAAAUACCGGGCUCGAGGGCGUGAGGGGUCACUGGAACUCCUGGUGAAGCGGUGAAAUGCGUAGAUAUCAGGAGGAACGCCGGAGGCGAAAGCGAGUGACUGGCGCGUUCCUGACGCUGAGGUGCGAAAGCUAGGGGAGCAAACAGG